rnacentral:rRNA from 1 species
CACGAACCGUACGAACGUUAUUCGGAAUUACUGGGCUUAAAGGGUUUGUAGGCGGCCAUGUAAGUCAGGUGUGAAAUCCCUCGGCUCAACCGAGGAACGGCGCUUGAUACUGCAUGGCUUGAGGGAGACAGGGGUAAGCGGAACUGAUGGUGGAGCGGUGAAAUGCGUUGAUAUCAUCAGGAACACCGGUGGCGAAAGCGGCUUACUGGGUCUCUUCUGACGCUGAGGAACGAAAGCUAGGGUAGCGAACGGGAUUAGAAACCCCUAGUCC